CUGGGGUUGUGGCUCGGUGGUAGAGUGCUUGCCUAGCACAGGUGGGACGCUGGGUUUGAUUCUCAGCACCACAUAAAAAUAAAUAAAAUAAAGGGAUUGUGUCCGAUUACAACGAAAAAUAAAUAAAUAAAAGAUAGUUGGAGAAAACAGUUGUGAUGUGCAUAGUUUUGAAGCAGAAUUAAGUAUUCAAAUUUGAGAUGUUAAGACACACUGGUUCUCAGUGGUGCCCACCUAUGCUUAUCAUCUAUGGGGCUGCUUGCAAAACUAAUUCUCCACCCUUCCCUGCCAAUCUGUUCAGUUUAUUUGAGCAGGGACCAGGUAUCAAGAUUUGUUUACCAUCACACAAGUGGUUCUAAUUGAACCUACUAAAUAAAUCUACUAAAUCUAAUUGAACCUACUAAAUAAAUCUACUAAAAGAUCCUUGUAUAGAAUCCUUCAGUGAGCACUGUAAGCCCAUGAAUUAGACCGCAGCCCAUAAGAGAGAUCAAGGCUGGAAAUAGGUGUGGUGCCUGCCUGAGAUGUGAGUUGGAACCAAGGGUUUGGUGUGACAUUGAAUCAAUCACAUUCACACCAGAUGCUUCUCUCCAUCCUCCCUGAAGAGUACCUUGUUUGUGUCGCUAUCAUCGCUUGCCUAUUACCACAGCCUCAUGACUGGAGUCCCUACAUCCACGUCUUCCCCUUCUAUGCUCUUUUCCCUCUGGCAGCCAGAAAAAAAUCAUUGAAAUUUUCAGGUUAUGUUCACUUUCUCCUUUGCUUGAAAUCUAUUAUUAUUGUUAUUAUUAUCAUUAUUAUUAUUAUUAUUAUUCCGGGGAUUGAACUCAGUGGUACUUGACCACUGAGCUAAAUCCCCAGCCCCAGCCCAAUUUUGUAUAUUAUUUAGGAGCAGGGUCUCACUGAGUUGCUUAGCGCCUCGCUUGUGCUGAGGAUGGUUUUAAACUCAUGAUCCUCCUGCCCCAGCCUCCUGAGCCACUGGGAUUAUAGGCAUGUGCCACCAUGCAUCGCUGCUUGAGAUCUUGACAUGACUUCCUAAUGCCUUUAGGAUGAAGUUCCAAAUCCUUAUCACAAUAAAGGGUUUGCCUGUUCUAACCUCUUCCUACUAGACUUUUUUUCUAAUUUUCUUCCUUUUCCCUAUCCUCAAAAGUAUGAAGCUCUCAAUAAAAAUUCUGGUCUUUACUCUUUCUUCUCCCUUAAAUGCGUGUCCUCCCCACCAUUUCUGAUUAAUUCUUACCCUUUCUCUCAAUUCCUCAGAAUUCCCUCUUCAACUGGCCAACCUUUUCCUGGUAGGGUCGCUAGAUAUGCUGAUAUAAAUACAAGACACUCAGUUAAAGCUGAAAUAAUAUUUUCAGUGUAACAUGUCCCAUGCAGUAUCUGGGUCAUAUUCAUACCAAAAAGAAUUUGCCAUUUAUCUGAAAUUAACUUUUUAACUGGAAGUCCUGUGUUUUAUCUGGAAAUGUGCCUAAACUAGAUUUAGUUAUACUUUCCUCUAACUCAUUCCAACUUGUAUUAAUUGUUCCAUACCUAUGUUUCUUAGUGAGCUAUAAGCUCUGUGAGGGCAGAGACUGGAUCUUCUUUGUUCAGCAACCCCUAACACAAUGCAAGGACAUAUUAUAGAUGCUUGAUUAAUGUUUAUUAGAUGAAUGAAAGCAAUAUGAGACCAUCAAGUUCUAGAGAGAACAGUGCUGAAGAUACUAAGAAGUUUCUUGCAUGCAGGUGACUAUGUAGUGGGAGUUGGGGAGGAGCAACAGAUAGAAAAGGUGUAGAAUAGAAAAUAAAGGGACCUUAGGCUAGUCUGAGAGGACUGCCCUUGCGUGGGUAACAAAAAAUCAGGAAGAAGGGCCAAGCCUAGAGACAAUAGAGCCAAAGAAGAAAAUUCACAAACUACACAGGGAGGUAACAGGGACCAGGACUUUGAAUUUGGCAAUUAAGUGCUUUGGAUAUUUAAGAGAGUUGUUUUGGGUCUGAGCUUUCAGGUUGCUGAGAACUCUUGAGAAAUUUAGUGAUGAAAGAGAGAGAGAUCAGAUUGUAACUGAGUCCUUAACGUAGUGCAGAGAAAUGUGUGCAUAUUUUACUUGUCAGGGAGACCUAUCCUUGGUGAAAAGGAAAGAACUAAUGGGAAAUGAGGGUGAUUAUUCUUUGGGAGAAGGAUGAAUAGAUUAAGAAGAAGAAUGUUUUCACAAGUUAGGAGCAUGUGAGCUGUGGCAGUCAUUCUUGUUGUUCUAAAACAAAACAAGUCACAUUGCCCUUCUGUUGCCUGAUUAUAUACAGUCUGCUAAGGAGUAAAACCUGAAUUUGAACUACUUUCUAAGCCCAGAGCUUCUUCUAUUUAAUGGGCAUGUUUGAAUGCACAUUUUGAUUGAUUGGUGGGAUGGAGCCUGAGGUUCUACACUUUUUUUUUUUAAGUUGUCAAUGGGUCUUUAUAUGUGGUACUGAUAAUCGAACCAUGUGCUUCACACAUGCUGGGCAUGGCACUCUACCACUGAGCUACGACCCUAGCCCUUGGUCUUAGUUCUUCUGGUUUCCAUGAAACUUUUUUUUUUUUAAACAACAGUUGAAUAUAAAAGCUUUAUAUUUGACUUAACUUUACAGUAAAUUCCACAUAAGAAAAACUAAACCUCCUUUCAGUUAGCUGAAUUGUGAUUGAAAUACAUUCUUGUAUUAAUAACUCAAAACUCUUAGGUGUACCUGAAGUAUUAGUCUCUCAAUACUAAGCAAGGAAUUAUCUUUGGAAUUUGAAACUAGAUUGCCUUGGAAUGUGAAAAAAUAGAAAACUGCUUAAAAAUAGAAUGUGAUCUUGAUGAAAUACUUAUUGGUAGUGAAUUACUAAUCAGUUAUUUGAGGAUGUAUUGUUGGUUGAUUCAAAGGAACUUGAGAAAUAUUCUUUUUGAACAUUUUGUGGGUGUUAGUAUGAUUCAUUAUUAAUGGUUUAGAAAUGCUUUCAAAGUGUUUAGAUUUAAUAAAUGCUUUUUACAGAAAAACACGUGUAAUUCAGGUAUGCUAUUUACAAAAUAAUUGUAGGAUUU
rnacentral:lncRNA from 1 species